ACAUGGCUCAGGACGAACGCUGGCGGCGUGCCUAACACAUGCAAGUCGAGCGAAGAUUAUAGCAAUGUAAUCUUAGCGGCGGACGGGUGAGUAACGCGUGGGCAACCUACCUCAAACUGGGGGAUAACACAGGGAAACUUGUGCUAAUACCGCAUAACAUCAUGAAAUGACAUUAUUUUAUGAUCAAAGGAGCAAUCCGGUAAGAGAUGGGCCCGCGUCCAAUUAGCUAGUUGGUGGUGUAACGGACCACCAAGGCGACGAUUGGUAGCCGAACUGUGAGGUUGAUCGGCCACAUUGGGACUGAGACACGGCCCAGACUCCUACGGGAGGCAGCAGUGGGGAAUAUUGCGCAAUGGGGAAACCCUGACGCAGCAACGCCGCGUGAAGGAUGAAGGUUUUCGGAUCGUAAACUUCUUUGAUGAGGGACGAAACAAAUGACGGUACCUCAAAAACAAGCCACGGCUAACUACGUGCCAGCAGCUGC
rnacentral:rRNA from 1 species